rnacentral:rRNA from 1 species
UACGUAGUCAGCAAGCGUUGUUCGGAGUUACUGGUCGUAAAGAGUGCGUAGGUGGUGCCCUAAGUCUGUUGUGAAAUCUCCCGGCUUAACUGGGAGGGUGCGGUGGAAACUGGGGUGCUUGAGUGUGGGAGAGGAUGGUGGAAUUCCCAGUGUAGAGGUGAAAUUCGUAGAUAUUGGGAAGAACACCGGUGGCGAAGGCGGCCAUCUGGACCGCAACUGACGCUGAGGCGCGAAAGCGUGGGGAGCAAACAGG